GUAAUGGGUCACACACUCAUGCUUUGAUGCUUCUGUAUUCGUGUAGUCCAGCUGUGUGCCACUUCACCUCAUCAUGAAUGACAAGCUUGCCAUGCAGAUGCUGUUAUAUAUACUGUAUGCAUUUCUUAUGAAGCGAGGUUCCUUGUUCUCCGAAUGCAGAUGCAAUUAGAGACGUCAGUUCCACACAACCUCCAUCACAUUUGUAUGCCUCUGUGGCCUUUUAAGGCUGUGGCAGUACUCGGUGCAAAGGCUUGUUUGGAGGAAAACGGAUCAUGGCUGAACAUUUGGCCACACAGAAAAGGUUAAUUUGCAUGUACUGAUAAACAACCUUAAUCUUAUUGUCCUAUUAAUGACUGUGAUGUAAAGCACUCCUAGGGCUGUCUCAAUGCUCAGAUGUGUACUCUGUGUCACCCUAACUCAAUUUGCAUUGUAAAUGUUCUGUGGCUUGACAUGUAAGUGACAUCAGUGAUGGUUUCCUUUUCUAACAAUAUCUCUUCAGAUGAGAGAUUGAAAGGCACGAUUCAUUCACCUUAUGUGUGCCAGAGCUGCACAAAAAUAUAUUCUAGUAUGCCAUCUUACAUUAACUGACUUUGUAAACAGCACUGGCAUUAUCUUAAAUAGCUCCUUAUUUACACAUCCUGCUCAUACAGAUGAACUUUGCGUUCAUUGUAGUCCUAUGGCCGCCUGCUGAACUGAAGUCCACUCAUUCACUCGUUUGUUUUGGUUUCUACCAACUCAUGAAGGACAUAUGUGGCUCCUUAGCUUCCAAAUGUCCCUCUGUGUUCACCAGCUAUUUACACAUUUUUUCUGCAGGCCCUGAAAACCAAAACAAUAACUCCGAAAUUCUGACAACUGCAGCCAGGUGUAUACAGCACGUUAGAAGCGCCAUCUUGUUAAUCAAGAAUGGGAACUUCAGCUAGCCGCCUUUGGUUUGCCUCAAGUUUAAAUAACGGCAAAAUAAAGUACAUUGCUCGAGUUUGUCACAGGACAACGCCACGAAGAAUGGAAAAAAGUUCAAAUGUGGCCACUCUUCUCAAAGCUGCUCCUUUACUUUACCGCCCGAGAGUUAGUAGAGGAUGCGAAUUUAACGUUAGCCCCAAACCAGCUAUGCGUGUUAGCAGCUAACGGACUUUUCAACAGAGGUGAACUUGAUGAAGUUGCCUAACGUACUGAACAUAAAGUUUAUCCUCAUAUUUCCCUAGAUGAAUUGUAUCGUAACGUUACUGACUUGGACUAGAGUGUCAGGCAACAUUCCUGCUGCCCUAAGCCUCUGAUUGGUGAAGGAUGUUGGGGACACAACCGAGAAUUUGGCACACUGUUCAGAGAGGUGCCAGUUGGUGUCGUCUGUGCCGCUUACUGCAGGCGAUACCUGACCUCUCAGCCCACUGCCUGAACCCUGGAUGGCCCCUCUGUCUCAGCAGUUGUAAGGGUGCUUCAAGUCCUAACCCAUGGCGCUCUGGUGUUUGCGUGGUGGAUUAAAGAACAUGAUGAUGCUGAUUUCCCGAUUUAAAAUUGGGAUUAUGCAACGCUGUGGUGAAACACCCACAGUCAAGUGUGUCUGUUAAAGAAGAGAUGUGUGUUUACACAUGUAAAUGUAUUUAAAGUUAGAAUGUUCCUUUUUAGGACUGUAUUAAAAUCCAUAAAAAUCUCAUAAAA